rnacentral:rRNA from 1 species
AGGAAAUAGAUACCCGGGUAGUCCACGCCCUAAACGAUGUCGACUGGUUGUUGGUGGGGUUAAACCCAUUAGUAACGAAAGCUAAACGCGUGAAAGUCGACCGCCUGGGGAGUACGGCCGCAAGGUUAAAACUCAAAGGAAUUGACGGGGACCCGCACAAGCGGUGGAUGAUGUGGAUUAAUUCGAUGCAAACGCGAAGAACCUUACCUACCCUUGACAUGCCAGGAACCCUGCUGAGAGGUGGGGGUGCCCGAAAGGGAACCUGGACACAGGUGCUGCAUGGCUGUCGUCAGCUCGUGUCGUGAGAUGUUGGGUUAAGUCCCGC